rnacentral:misc_RNA from 1 species
GAAAGCACCAUUUCAUUGUGUGGAUAGCUUUAGUCCAAUUUUGUGGAAAUGGCUAGUGGGCAUUAGCGUAGGGACAUCAUGAGAUGAUCGUGAAUACCCUUUUCAAGACAAAAAGAGAAUCGUAGUGAGGCAUUUGGUUGUGUCAUGAUGAGGGGAAGGGUUAUAGUUCUGGCCAAUAAAAUCUCUCUAGCCCUCUAUAUUUGGCCUUAGGCUGCUAAAAAGAGGGAAAUAUGGCAUUAUGACAUCUUCGCGGGAAUUCAGAGUCGGUUCACUCGAGCGAAAACGGACGUCUUACAGGCAUGGUAUAACCUCCCCCUGUCGUAAGGGACGGACAUUCCUCAAACAACUUCAAGACCCACAAGUAUAAAAUUAUAGCAAGGCCUGCUUCGGACAAGGGGGAGACCGCUCUUUGUAGGAGAUUAUUUCUAGGAUAGGAAAUUGCCCUUUUCAGGAGUUGAAAACCGAUAACAUGCUUCCAUGAGCUGAUGGGUUCAUUACUGAAAAUACAUGUUGGUUAACCAUCUUUGUGUAUGUUGUUGGAUAUCUGGAAGUUGGUUGCAUUUUUCUUUUUCUCUAACCUCUUUUAUACUGGACAUUGUUGUCGUUUACUGUCAAAUGUCUAAGUGUCUGAUUCCAAGGGGACAACAUUUAUGAGUGAACAUGAACUCAUGCGGAUGCGGGUACACUCCGAACUAGAAAUUGAGAC